rnacentral:rRNA from 1 species
UUUGUGGAGAGUUUGAUCCUGGCUCAGGACGAACGCUGGCGGCAUGCCUAACACAUGCAAGUCGAACGGAGCACGGAUACUUCGGUGGAAGUGCUUAGUGGCGGACGGGUGAGUAACGCGUGGAUAACCUGCCUGAGAGUGGGGGAUAACAGCCCGAAAGGGCUGCUAAUACCGCAUAACGUUGUUUGGGGACAUCCCCGGACAACCAAAGGAGCAAUCCGCUCUUGGAUGGGUCCGCGUCCGAUUAGCUAGUUGGUGAGGUAAUAGCUCACCAAGGCGACGAUCGGUAGCCGGCCUGAGAGGGUGAACGGCCACACUGGGACUGAGACACGGCCCAGACUC